UAUGCUCUUUCUUUUUUUAAUAAUGAUUCUGGUCAUUGCCACGUGUGUGCGAAAUGAUGAAACUCUCGGACCUAACCUCAAAUGUUAAGGUUAAGGCACGCGUAGUAACCGCUUUCGAUUGAUACUUUGUACGGUGAAAUCGAGAAGAAAAGUGUGUUUCAAAGAGUCUGUGUCACGUUUGCAUGAUGUAACAUCUAAUGCGGUCGGUGAUAUUGCACGGUGCGCUUAUCUCCAUUGCCGUUUGUAUUAAAUGGUCCAUGGCAGGCAUAAGCGGUGUUCGAGAAGUUUAGGGCGUAUGAUUCUUUAGCACAAUCGAUACUGUAGACACAGGGACCAUGAUCGCCAUAAUUAUUGCAAAGAAGAAAUAUUCCCUUAUCAUUUCGUCAUCUUAUCACUGUCAUCUGAAGCUAGGUACAGAGAACGAUCGUUUUACGGGGAAGCAUGGCGGGUGUAAUGCGGAAAGGGGCCGAUUUUUCUAUGUUUCAAAAUCGUUUGAAGGAUGCUGAUGUACAAGGCAUUUUAAAGUUAUUAAUAAUACAAAGUAUUUUAAACAUGCUAAAUGUAUUACAUAAUGUGUAGCAUACGUACAUAGUAUAUAUACAUAUGUUCGAUCUCUGUACUAUAUCUAAUUGCCACUACAUGUACAUGUAGAUCCAUAUAUCCUCUGUAUAUAGGUCUGUAGAAUUCUAGAUGUCUACAUUUCUAUAUUCUUGUAUCUCUACAUCCAUUCUACUGUAUAGGAUACCAUAAGAGGAGAUAUAAGAACUGUUAGGUCAUUUUCCUUACAUAUUCAUGUGACUUGUAUGUGUGGCUGCUGUAAUUAUUUUGCAACCAUACAUGUAAAAUGAGGAAUACGUUCAUUGUUUUAAUAGUUUUGUUUUAAAACUCAUCCUCCAGUGAGUUAUCCUUAAAUCUCUACAUUUUUAUAUUUUUAUAUCUCUACAUAUAAAUGCAAUUUUUAUUAUAUAUCUUCCUACAUAUGUAUGUACAUAAAGUACGUAAUAACUUCGCGAUAAUUGUAUGAAAUUUUAAUAUUUUAAUGUUGAUAUUUUAUCAGUAUUUAGAACAUACGUUUUGUGAAAUAAUUAUCACAUCGACUUCCACAUCUUCCAAACGUAGUUCCCGAGGCUUGUUAUAAUUAGCACCGUUUCCAUCGUAUCGACAAAAUUUCAUUUAGAUGAACUACCGGGGUUAAACAAUGUGAACGGUCGUUGAACCCAUACAUUUUCUAGGAACGGAAAAUAAAAGAACGGAAGGCGGUCCAUAAUGUCACGAGGGUUGGUCACAUGUCCAGUCUCGUGUUGAUCGCCGCAAGAAUUCCAUCGAGCGAAUCGUUCGACUUCCCAGCUUAAUAGGGUCAAAUACGAAAUAAUUAAGCUUAAUGCAUUCGACGGCGAAAUUCGUUGAUUAUUUUAUAUCGUUGUUUUUUUACAUGGAACAUUCUUUUUCUUAUUGGAACGUUCUGUAUUAUCGGUCGAGUGUUAUUUUCUUUAUAAGAACGAUAAUCAAUGUUAUGAAAUAUGCGAUAAGCGUGAACCCUUUCAUACUCGAUUUUAUUACACUUCAUGCUGCAUAAAUACUGAAUUUCGGGUGGAAGAGUUUAUUGCGUUAUAUCAGGUUUUUUUAGUUUUACAAACAUUCUGACAUGUAUUUUAUACUGCAAAAUUAAGUUUUAAUAUAUGUUUUUUAUUUCUCUGUGGAAUAAUAAUUAUGUGUAUGUAUUGUAACGAGAGUGUAUUGUAACGAGACUGUAAUGUAAUGCGACUGUAUUGUAACGAGACUGUAAUGUAAUGAGACUGUAGUGUAAGAAGACUGUGCUGUAACAAGACUGUAAUGUAACAAGACUGUAAUGUAACGAGACUGUAUUGUAACGAGACUGUAAUGUAAUGCGACUGUAUUGUAACGAGACUGUAAUGUAAUGAGACUGUAGUGUAAGGAGACUGUAAUACAAUGCGACUGAAAUGCAACGAGACUAUGCUGUAACAAGACUGUAAUGUAACGAGACUAUAUUAUAACGAGACUAUAUUGUAACGAGACUAUAUUGUAACGAGACUAUAUUGUAACGAGACUAUAUUGUAACGAGACUAUAAUAUAACGAGACUGUAUCGUAGCAAAACUGUAAUAUAACGAGACUAUAUUGUAACAAGACUAUAUUGUAACGAGACUAUAAUAUAACGAGACUGUAUCGUAGCGAGACUAUAUUGUAACGGGACUAUAUUGUAACGAGACUAUAUUGUAACGAGACUAUAUUGUAACGAGACUAUAUUGUAACGACACUAUAUUAUAACGAGACUAUAUUGUAACCAGACUAUAUUGUAACCAGACUAUAUUGUAACGAGACUGUAUUGUAACGAGAGUAUAAUAUAACGAGACUGUAUCGUAGCGAGACUGUAAUAUAACGAGACUGCAUUCUAACAAACUGCAAGGAACUAGUCAGCUCCUUUUGGCCAAUAAACACGUCGCGAAGGAAUCCGCCAAAGCAAAACUAAUUGGUUAAAGAACAUUGUCCGAAACGUUAAACGAGCAAGACACCUGUUGUACUCGGUAACCGAGCGCGGGAAAUAAAGUCAUUAAAAGACACCCCUAUCGAUCGUUGAAAAUUGACUCGAUAAGACCAUACCCGAUGACCUUGCAAUUCAGUAAGCGAUAAUCAAGACACUAUACCAUGUAACUUAAACAAAAAAUACCCAAGUCAUCAAAAUUUCUGCUGACGUAAUUUAAUGCACUCUUUCAUAAUUUCGGAGAAUAAGUAAUUUAUCUUAUAUUAGUCCGUUCCGUAUAAUAUAUCGGUGAUAGGCAGUUAUGGUCGCGAGAAAGGUACUGCAACGUAAUCGCUAUUCAGGAUACUCGAUGUCGAGCAAACACCGUAUAAAACAUUCCGUUCCUGCAUGAGUUGUCUGCAUGCCAUCGAGAAAACAUUAUUGUUUUAAGUCAACAUUCGUGAAUCAGGAACACGUAUGUAAAUCUUAUCAUGAAUCGUAUAACAAAUACAAGUGUUUUAAACUUGACGGUGCAGUUGGAAUCACAAGAAACUGCAAUGCUGCAAAAAUUUCGAAGGAAAACAUGAUUCGUAAACAGUGAAUGUGCGUUGAAUCGGAGGUGGAUUUUUGGGAGAAAUUUGAGGAUUGGAAAUUGCGGAUUUGGGGAUUUGGGAUCUGAGA